CACAGAGAGUAGGAAAUCAAAUUACAAAACAACAACAACAAAAAAAGACAUCAUUAACAAGCAGCUGCUCCUGAAGCAACAUUAGAAUUAGAGAUAUUAAAGUUGCAGGUUGGCAGGAAAGAGGUGGAUUUGACAGGCAAGGGAGAAGGCUCUACAAGAAGGGGUCCAGAGAAGUCCUGAAAGGAUGGAGCAACUGAAACAAAACACCAAAUCACGGCAGCCUGUUGGCAGAGGGAACACUCCCUGCAUGACUGCUGCACAAAUGGAAAAGAUGUUCAGUGAGGAAAAGAAUACAAGUUUGUAAAUUGUACUGAUUUUUCGAGAAGAUGGCAGUUAAAAUGAUGUUUGACAGAGAGUCUGUCACGAAGAGAAGCUAUUGCAAGCUUCCCACUAAGCACAACUCUGUCUUAUACAAAAGGAAUUGUUAUGUGCAAGGAAAA